GCUUGAGUCCGGUAGGGGCAGAGGGAAUUUCCCGGUGGAGCGGUGAAAUGCGUAGAGAUCGGGAAGAACGCCAAGGGCGAAGGCAUUCUGCUAGGCCUGAUUUCGCGACUGACACUCAGGGACGAGAGCCAGGGGAGCGAAUGGGAUUAGAUACCCCAGUAGUCCUGGCCGUAAACGAUGGAUACCAAGCCCUGCGCGUAUCGACCCGGGCAGGGCUGUAGCUAACGCAUGAAGUAUCCCGCCUGGGGAGUACGCUCGCAAGAGUGAAACUCAAAGGAAUUGACGGGAGCCCGCACAAGCGGUGGAGCAUGUGGUUUAAUUCGAUGCAACGCGAAGAACCUUACCAGGGCUUGACAUGCCGCGAACCCCCCUGAGAGGGGGGGGUGCCUUCGGGAGCGCGGACACAGGUGGUGCAUGGCUGUCGUCAGCUCGUGUCGUAAGAUGUUGGGUUCAGUCCCGCAACGAGCGCAACCCCCGUCUCUAGUUGCCCACAAUUCGGCACCCUAGAGAGACCGCCGGUGUUAAGCCGGAGGAAGGUGGGGAUGAGGUCAAGUCAACAUGCCCCUUUUGCCCUGGGCGACACACGUGCUACAAUGGCCGGGACAAAGAGAUGCGACCCCGCAAGGGCCAGCCUGACCUCGUAAACCCGGCCUCAGUUCGGAUUGUAGGCUGCAACCCGCCUACAUGAAGGAGGAAUCGCUAGUAAUCACCGGUCAGCCAUACGGUGGUGAAUCCGUUCCCGGGCUUUGCACACACCGCCCGUCACACUAUGGGAAUCGGCCAUGCCCCAAGUCGUUACCCCAACCCGUAGGGAGGGGGAUGCCAA
rnacentral:rRNA from 1 species